GGCUGAGUAGCUCAGUGGCAGAGUGAGUGCUUAGUAUGCAUGAGGCCCUGGGUUCGAACCCCAGCACCA
rnacentral:tRNA from 1 species